UACGGGAGGCAGCAGUGGGGAAUAUUGCACAAUGGGCGAAAGCCUGAUGCAGCUAUGCCGCGUGUAUGAAGAAGGCCUUAGGGUUGUAAAGUACUUUCAUCGGGGAGGAAAAAAACAAAACUAAUAAUUUUAUUUCUUGACGUUACCCGAAAAAGAAGCACCGGCUAACUCCGUGCCAGCAGCCGCGGUAAUACGGAGGGUGCUAGCGUUAAUCAGAAUUACUGGGCGUAAAAGAGCACGUAGGUGGUUUUUUUAAGUCAGAUGUGAAAUCCCUGGGCUUAACCUAGGAACUGCAUUUUGAAACUGAAAUACUAGAGUAUCGUAGAGGGAGGUAGAAUUCUAGGUGUAGCGGUGAAAUGCGUAGAUAUCUGGAGGAAUACCUGUGGCGAAAGCGGCCUCCUAAACGAAUACUGACACUGAGGUGCGAAAAGCGUGGGGAGCAAAACAGGGAUUAGAUACC
rnacentral:rRNA from 1 species